AUUGAACGCUGGCGGCAGGCUUAACACAUGCAAGUCGAGCGGGGUGAUGGUGCUUGCACUAUCACUUAGCGGCGGACGGGUGAGUAAUGCUUAGGAAUCUGCCUAUUAGUGGGGGACAACAUCUCGAAAGGGAUGCUAAUACCGCAUACGUCCUACGGGAGAAAGCAGGGGAUCACUUGUGACCUUGCGCUAAUAGAUGAGCCUAAGUCGGAUUAGCUAGUUGGUGGGGUAAAGGCCUACCAAGGCGAGGAUCUGUAGCGGGUCCGAGCGGAUGAUCCGCCACACUGGGAAUGGGACACGGCCCCGACUCCUACGGGAGGCAGCAGUGGGGAAUAUUGGACAAUGGGGGGAACCCUGAUCCAGCCAUGCAGCGUGUGUGAAGAAGGCCUUAUGGUUGUAAAGCACUUUAAGCGAGGAGGAGGCUCUUUUGGUUAAUACCCAAGAUGAGUGGACGUUACUCGCAGAAUAAGCACCGGCUAACUCUGUGCCAGCCGCCGCCGUAA
rnacentral:rRNA from 1 species